AAAUUCCCAUUUUUUUCGCCCCAAAAUUCCCAUUUUUUCUCCUAAUAGUCCCAGAAAAUCCCCCCAAAAUUCCCCUUUGUUCCCCAAAAAAUUCACCCAAAAAAAUCCUUUUUGUCCAAAAUCCCCCCAAAAAAUCAUGUAAAAAUUCAAAACAAUUCCCAUUUUUAGUCCCAAAAAUCCCCCUAAAAAUUCCCAUUUUUUCCCCCAAAAAUUCAUUUUCCCACUAAAUUCCAAAAAAAUCCCCCCCAAAAAUUUCCAUUUUUCCCACAAAAUUCCCAAAAAAUCCUCCCAAAAUCUCCCACUUUUUCCACAAAAACUUCCCAUUUCUUCCCCCAAAAAAUCCCCCAAAAAUUAAUAUAAAACUCUCUUUUUUUUUCCUCCAAACUUCCCAAAAUGUGCCCCAAUAAAUUCCCAUUUUUUAGUCCCAAAAAUCCCCCCAAAAAUGCCCGUUUUUUCCCCACCCAGCCGUGGGUUCCCGUUGUUCCUUCAGGCAGCCACAGCCAGGCCGUGCUGGAGGCCCCCAAAAUCCAAAAGAAUUCUCCUUUUCGCCCCAAAAAACCUCAUUUUUUCCCAAAAAAUUCCCGGUUUUCCCUCAAAAAUUUCCUUCUUUCACCCAAAAUUCCCUGUUUCCCCACCCAGCUGUGGGUUCCGGUUCUUCCCUCAGGCAGCCACAGCCGGGACAGCGCCGCACUUGAGGCGCCACCCCAAAAUCCAAAAAAAAAAAUCGCAUCUUUCCCCCAAAAAAUUUCAAUUUCUCAAAAAAAUGCAUAUUUUUUUCUCCCAAAAUUCCUGGGUUUUUCUACCAAAAUCCCACGUUUCCGCACCUAACCGUGGCUUCCCGUCGUUGCGUCGCCUCGGGCAGUCGGGGUCGCGCCGCGCUGGAGGCACCCCCAAAAUCCGAAAAAAUCGAAUUUUUUCCCCAAAGAAUUCCCAUAUUCUCCCAAAAUUCCCAUAUUUUUCCUAGAAACAUUCCCAAAAACCUGUUUUUCUCUCAAAAUUCCCAUUGUUUCCGCAGCCAAACGUGGCUUCCUGUUGUUGCCGUCGUUCUUCCCUCAGGCAGCCACAGCCGGGACAGCGCCGCGCUGCUGGUUACUCCAAAAUCAAAAGAAAUUCGCAUGUUUUCUCAAAAAAAUUCCCAUUUCUCUUAAAAAAAUUGUAUUUUUUCUCCCAAAAUUCCCAUUUUCCCCCAAAAUUCCUGUGUUUUUUCCACCAAAAUCCCCAAAACCCCCACGUUUCCGCACCUAACCGUGGC
rnacentral:lncRNA from 1 species